CCGCGCCGGCGGCCCGAAGCAGCCGGGGGCCGGAGCGUUGUUUCUGCGAAGGCAGAGCGACUAGCAAGACUUUGCAGCCCUAAGCCUCACAGUAGGUAAAGCAGCAGAGAAGGCUGCCGAGCCAUCGCUGAGGGACGCCGCCCUCAUUUUCCCCCCCAGCUGGACCCUUAUGGGACUAAAGCUGAGAGGGCCUGUCUCUUAAGCAGCAGACCAGCGUUUCUGAUCUGCUCGCUCCUCUUCUCACUGCAAGACGACAAGAACACGGCAUAACAGCAUUCUCUUUCAUAGCAGGCUACGUUACAAAGCACUGUCUAAAAACCCCGCAAACUGUGAACCAAAUGGAGUUCUAGAGAAUCCAACCUACAGUGGGAUCGGCAAAUUAAAACCCUCUUGGGUUUACUUAAAUAAUGGAUUCAUCUAUAAUACCGUCCAAAGGUUUUUCACAUCUUUAAGUGUUUUCUGUCCAUGAGGAUGGGGUGCUAUCCAGACGUCCAACCCUCCCCAUAUCAUAAUGUCCGCCUGUGAUGUGUGGGGACUGCAAUCAGCUCUUGGUACACAACAGAUACCAGAGGUUAAAAAAAAUUAAAAAUAACCUAAAAAAUGUUUUGUUGGACUCCGUUGCCCAGGCUGCCAGGGGAAUGCUCCUACUUGAUCUGGGGGGCUUCCAUAACGAACAACUCAAGUUUCCAGAGAGUGUCGGUAACACAGGAGAACAGA